CAUACAUUUAUCGAAAAGAAAAUUCCUAUAAUUGGGGGCUGAUCCGCCUAACAGAAGCUGAACUGCCUCUGCAUCUCUAGUCACGGACAACUUGGGAAACAAAUUCAAAUUCUGUGUGUCCAAUAGAAUACCUGAAAGCUGAUUAUAAGCAGAUACUAGAUGAUGUUCCUGGCUGUGAGAUGCCUUUUCAAUCUUCUCUCUUCGAAAUUUCCUUGUUCAUCCAUUUUGUCUUUCGUGCUGAAAACUAGUGAAUUCUGGAAAUCCGGAAUGGAAAUUUCAUCUAAAGAAUCUUAAGCUCAUAACAAACCGUAAAUCUUAACAAUAUUAAUGUACCACACACACAUUGUAGUUGAAGGUAAGCAGGCAAUAAUCCUCAUAUUUUAUUUUAAACGUCCAAUCCGAAUUACCAUCCAUUCUUUAUCCGUCUGAGAUACAUGAAAAUACCUCAUUAGAAAAGAACAAAGCAGUGGCAUCAAGGCGAACACGGUCGAAAAGCCAAGCCGCUUGAUGCUUCUUCCACAUUUUGUCUCCAAAUAUUCAUCACAGGUACGAUCAACUCGAAAUUGCUCCUGUCUCCCUCUCCUCUUAUCUUAUCAGCCUUCAUUCUAUUUUCCAACAACCAAGCAUAACAUAUUGCUGCUACCAUCAAGCUCGUACUUAAACCACACAAAAAUGUAAGACCAGGCUAAGUUAAAAUUGUCCCUUAUAAUCAUAUAAUUAUUUCGUCAGUAUCCCUUGACCGCCAAUUUUUUAAUGAUAUAUUGGGUAUUCCUUACUUGUACUCGGUUGCCCUAUAUCCACGUGAAGUGGAUGUAGCUCUAAGUGAGCCACAAUGAAUUCACGUGUUUGCUCUGCCUAUUUCUGAUUUUCGUUUUGCCAUUCAGUGCUCUCAUAAUUUGGUUUAAGGCUUAAUUGCUAAAAGAGGUUAGUUGAUCAAUCUCUAGUAAAUUAAAGAGGUUGUAGAACACUAAAAUGUCAGAGGGAUAAACAAAAAGAAAAAGAAAAGAAAUAUGCAAUACUACAACAAAACUUAGCUGUUUGAAGGUCCAGAGAGCACAAUCUUGGCCUUUCUUCUGAUUUCCCCGCUCAAGAUUUUCUCAAUUUUGAUCCUCUGCUCUUUUAAGAACAAGUUCAAGUCCUGAGCCAUCAAAUCUAUA
rnacentral:lncRNA from 1 species